UAUAUUUAUAUAUAGACGUAAAUGCGGCAUUUCAUCGAAUAUGUAGUAGUUUUAAGGUUUAUGUACAUAUGCAUCAAGGAUCGUUAAACACCAGUAGCCUCGUAUCGGUGCUUACGUGAUCAUCGUCACGUCCAAGUAUUUUACGCAUUUGAAAUAAUCGAAGGACGUGACAACGGAAUUGACAGCAACAAAAACAAUAAUAAAAAGUACAAAUAAAUUCACUAUAAAUUUUGGAUUAAAAAUUACAGAUAGUAAUCAUAGUGGAUAUUUAUGACGUACUUAAAAAAGUAUAUAUUUUUUUAGAUUGCUAAGUUUCGUCACAACGGGUUAUCGAACGAAGCCGAGCUGGAAGUGGUAAAGAGAGUGGAGAAUCAGCCAAUGAGACGAUGUGGGAGAGGAUGCGCGUAUAAUCGAGAUUCAAAAACACAUAUACAUAUAUAUGUGUGUGCAUGUGUGCAUAUACACACUACACACGCACAUGUUUAUUAUUAAUACAUAUACUUUUGAAUUAAGAUUAUAAAAAUACAUGGUACAAUAAAAAGAAAAUAGAGUGCGAAUGAAGAACAACUCUGAAGACGUAAACAUAAUAUAUGUGUGCUGAUAAAAAAACAUUAUUAUUUUAAAAUCAAUUGCGUAUAGGUCAAUAAGGACAUUUUUAUAUUUUCUUACUUCAUAUUUAUGUUUUAACUCAAAACAUUUAGAGGAGAGAUGUGUGUUCAAGAUUAAGCAGAAAUUAUGUGACGUCGGAUCCACAAGAGCUCAAGAUGAGGCGAGCUCCAGGCCAGACAAAAGAAAACAGCAGGUAGACGUCUAUAAUAACAGGUUUAGCUAGAAGUAGAGGAUUUUCUUUUUCGCGUCAUUAUAGGGGACUGAAGUCUCGUCCAGCAGGAGGUUGUAUUUGGGAACGAUAAUAGUAUUAGUGAGUAUCCGUGUGUUAGUAUACCUGGGAAGGAAAAUCUGAGGAUCAAAUUUCCGUGUGGACGGAAAAUCGACCAAGAUCAGCUGUUGUAUUUAAUACUGCAUUGAAAAGUUUUUCAAAUAUUCUUACAACAUUACUCUGUCCCUAUUUAACUUUUUUUUUUAUUACAGCAGGUAUAUCCGAAAAGGUUGUAAAUCACCCACAUUCUCUUUGCCUGAUGGAUCUUCAGGUUCUGUACUACAGCCUCUUUCUCUCUCCGUCUCUCCCUAGUUUAUACUAAUGUAGCACUGCAGCCAUACUAAAAAUUCUCGGCUAUUAUGUUCUCUGGGUGGACCCUCAUGUAAUUCAGCUUCAGCGCGUCUCCGUUGAAUUAACAUGGACGAGAAGGAAUAAUGAAGGAAGAAAAAAAAUACCUGCUUGUCAACGUGAAUCCCAGUGGAGAGAACGAGGCAUAUGCAGCUGCAUGUCUACUACUAUACAUUGUGUAUACUAAUAGACAAAGUAAAAUCAUAAGUUGAUCUAAACACGUUUCUACCAACGCGACGAGUAUACUACGUAUAUAUUUAUCGUAGUCAUACGUAUAUGUAGACAUAUGUUAAAAAAACUAGAAUGUCAUUAUAACGAGAAAUUAACACUAGGAAGUAUCUGUUUCUAUACAUUUAUAGAUUUUUAAACUUAUAUGGAUAAUUUAAAAAUUGAGGAAGUCGAGUUUCAAAUUGCAACUUUACUGUUUUAUGUCCCCGUAGUUUUGAGUACGUGCUUGUAUGUAUGCAUACAUGGACGUGUAUGUGUAUGGAUGUAUGUAUUCAUGUAUAUAUGUAUGAAUAUGUAUAAGUGUAAAGGGAGAGCCGUGGCUUUUUGGUCGAUGAUGGCAGAUGGCGAGUGCAGCUGGUAAAAUUGAGCGACGACCACGCCGACUACUCAAUGAUACGAUGGCCCAGCAACACAAGGGGAACCCAUGGUAUGCCAUGAGAAAAUUAACAAAGAUAAAAUAUUUAUGGAAUAAAAAAGUUUAUUUUUAAAAAAACUGAUACUAAGUUGAUUAUUAUAUGAUUUAAGUAUAGAAUUUUCCUUUUCCUUCGACUACUUAACGCCCACCUUGAUAUUUCACCUCAGCGGUUUAUCAUACGUGGGUGUGAUGAAUGGAUAAUUUAAUGGCGUAUGAUGUUGGAUCGAUUAGAUGAAACUUUCACGGAUCAGACAGAGAUAGACGCAACAAAAGAACUAAGAUAAUAUGGUGUUGGUGUGUAGUGAUGUUUCGUUUGAUGGUUUCCUCGCUUCCGUCCAACUUGUCUUUUAUGUUACAUGGUUAUAUUUUUUUGUUGUUGUUGCUGGCUCUUUGUUUUAUUAUUUCAGUUGCUGACGUUGAGUCUCUAGGUCUUGGUGUCGGUGUCUCGGGUGUAUACGAGGUUCGUGGAAGAUGUGAGCGUUAAGUAAAAGCAAAGAAACAAAACAUUAUCCAAAAAGAGGAUCAUGAUGUAUACGAGUAACAGGAUACUAAAGGGAGCUCUUGGCGGAAACACGCUCGUCGUUGUCGUCAUGGAAAGCCACGUCCGUCGAUACAAAGGAAGUACAGAGGAAUGGAUUCAAGGGCAAUAUAAAUGUGAAGCAAUGCUCACUUACUGUUACGGGUUUAGCUGUAUGGAUGCUGGGUAUAAAAGAAUAACGUGAGAAGCUGAUCAAGUAUAGAUGUGGCUGUGCGGUGUAGGAGCAUUGGGAGGUUUCUUGAUGUUGAUGAGGCCUCGAGAGAGCUCUUGUAUUAUGAAUAGUAGUCCAAGAAGAGAAGAGCACUGCUGGCACGACGGAAAAAGGCCGGAGGCGAGAGAAAAAAAGGGGCCUGGUGUAGAGUCUCCGAGUGGCUUAUACUUCUUAUUCCUCUUUUCUUUAUUUUGUUCUCUUCAGCUGGUUUUGGAGCAGACCAGCAGACGUGAACACAACACACAUAACAACUUCAACACCAUCGAGCACAUUGCAUGGUGGUGUAGCCAACCAAACCAUAGUCUUGUCUGCUCUGCUGCUGUUAUGUGUAUAUGUUGUGUUGCUACCAGUUCUGGCAGCGAGUCAGGGCGCUGUUGCCAAGCGGAAGUUGUAUACAGAUGGUGAAUAAAUGGCAGGGCCAUUUUUCCAAAGAAUCAUUCGGUUUCUAUUACGGUUUUUUUAUUCAUAUGCGUACAAAUAUGUAUACAUGCACACAUGUGACUCUAUAUACAUCUACAUACACGUUACGCCCUUUCCUGGCCACCGUGACCGCUUUAUUCCAGCGGCAAAAGCUAGUUAAACUUUUAUUUCAAUAAACCUAAAAAGAGAUACCAAGACUUGGUUUAGUUUUUUCUGAUGAUAAACUUAUAUUAGACAUAUUUUGUUAUAUCACAUAGAAAAGUUCAAUUUAGCAGUACAUAUAUAUGUAUAUAUGAUAUAUAUAUAUAUAUAUAUAAUGUAAAAAGUAAAGGGGGAACGAUCGAGUCAACGGGACAAGUGAUUCCCACGCUUCGUGGCCCCUCGAUCUUUACGAUUGUAUUACCUUGAUUUAGUUUCUUGCAUUUACGAGAGUUAACAACCAACGCGGAUGUAUAUAUUGUAAAAAAAUAUAAUCCUUAGCAUAGAUUGCUAAAUAAUAUUACAUUUAAAAAAGGUUAUUGUAUAUCAAAAUACGGGUAUCGCUACGUGAGUUUACAGCCGGAUUAUAUUAUCCAUGAGUUGAGAGUUGAGAGAGUAGUCGAUUGUGUACAUGAAGAGAAAGAAAGCAUCAGAUCAGCAAAAUAAGGGGCUUGGUCUGUACUCCAUGUACUUUUGAUGCUAUACAACCAAACCUUAUAUUCCAUCCGCUCUUUCGGAGACUAAUUGGCGCUAGGAUAAUAUCCUAGCAUUCUGAAGAGAGAGAGAGAGCGAAAGAGAAUGACUAUGCUGGCUAGAAAUAGUCCACAAGAGCGACCAGGACAGAAAGAACACUUUGGUUGGUGGUAUUGGUGACCUCACGCGAGAGAAACGCGGUGUUGCCAUAUCUCCAACGUGGCGUCAAUGUUUUUAUAUAUAUAUAUUAUAUACAUCAACCUUCUCUUAAAGCUGAUGUUGCGAUAUCAGUAUAUCCUUUUAAGCUAGUAUAGCUUAUACGUGAAUUCAUUUGUUGAUCAAUCAUGUUUAUUUAAUGACUAAUUUUAAUUCUUGCUCUCCAUCAUUUUUAUUUUUUAUUUUUUUAGGAAUAAUAAAAAAUUUAUUGACGUAGCUGCGAUACGUCAGUUAUCAAAUCACCGGUUUGUGUAUAAAAAUUAAAGACUGGUUUUUUUUUUCUAUACAAAAAUACUUUGUUAUUGACGAUUGAGUUCAAUAAUAUGUUUAUAAUAGCUCUAGUCAUUAGGAAGAAAUAAAAUAAUUAUAUGAUCAAUUAAUUGAUUGGUCUAUCGACGACCAGCCAAUAAACACAAGACAAAAAACAUAAAAGUUUUUAAUUAAUA